rnacentral:rRNA from 1 species
AGAGUUUGAUCCUGGCUCAGGAUGAACGCUAGCGGCAGGCUUAACACAUGCAAGUCGAGGGGCAGCGCGGGGCGGCAACGUCCUGGCGGCGACCGGCGGAAGGGUGCGUAACGCGUGAGCGACAUGCCCGUUGCCCGGGGACAACCGGUGGAAACGCCGACUAAUCCCCGAUGGGAUACGAUGCUUCAUGGCAUUGUAUUGAAAGUUACGGCGGCGACGGAUUGGCUCGCGUCCGAUUAGCUUGUUGGCGGGGUAACGGCCCACCAAGGCUACGAUCGGUAGGGGUUCUGAGAGGAAGGCCCCCCACAAUGGGACUGAGACACGGCCCAUACUCCUACAGGAGGCAGCAGUGAGGAAUAUUGGUCAAUGGGCGGAAGCCUGAACCAGCCAUGCCGCGUGCGGGAAGGAGGCCCUAUGGACUGUGAACCGCUUUUGCCUGGGGGCAAUAAGGGCGUCGCGCACGUCCGAUGAGAGUACCAGGCGAAUAAGCAUCGGCUAACUCCGUGCCAGCAGCCGCGGUAAUACGGGGGAUGCGAGCGUUAUCCGGAUUCAUUGGGUUUAAAGGGUGCGUAGGCUGUGCGUCAAGUCGGGGGUGAAAUUCCGGUGCUCAACACCGGGGCUGCCCUUGAUACUGUCGCGCUGGAGUGCGGAUGCCGCCGGAGGAAUGAGUGGUGUAGCGGUGAAAUGCUUAGAUAUCACUCAGAACACCGAUUGCGAAGGCGGCCUACUGGGCACCAACUGACGCUGAGGCUCGAAAGUGUGGGUAGCAAACAGGAUUAGAUACCCUGGUAGUCCACACCGUAAACGAUGAUUACUAGGUGUUGGAGGAUUGACCCCUUCAGUGCCGCAGUUAACACAAUAAGUAAUCCACCUGGGGAGUACGACCGCAAGGUUGAAACUCAAAGGAAUUGACGGGGGCCCGCACAAGCAGUGGAGUAUGUGGUUUAAUUCGACGCAACGCGAGGAACCUUACCAAGUCUUGACAUCCUGUGACAGACGUAGAAAUACGUUCUUCCUUCGGGACACAGAGACAGGUGGUGCAUGGUUGUCGUCAGCUCGUGUCGUGAGAUGUUGGGUUAAGUCCCGCAACGAGCGCAACCCUUAUGGUCAGUUACUACGCAAGAGGACUCUGGCCAGACUGCCGUUGACAAAACGGAGGAAGGUGGGGAUGACGUCAAAUCAUCAUGCCCUUUAUGACUUGGGCUACACACGUACUACAAUGGCGUUAAACAAAGAGAAGCAAGACCGCGAGGUGGAGCAAAACUCAGAAACAACGUCCCAGUUCGGACUGCAGGCUGCAACUCGCCUGCACGAAGUCGGAAUUGCUAGUAAUCGUGGAUCAGCAUGCCACGGUGAAUACGUUCCCGGGCCUUGUACACACCGCCCGUCACACCAUGAGAGCCGGGGGGACCCGAAGUCGGUAGUCUAACCGCAAGGAGGACGCCGCCGAAGGUAAAACUGGUGAUUGGGGUGAAGUCGUAACAAGGUA